GCUUAUGGCCAUACCACCCUGAGCACGCCCGAUCUCAUCUGAUCUCGGAAGCUAAGCAGGGUCGGGCCUGGUUAGUACUUGGAUGGGAGACCGCCUGCGAAUACCAGGUGCUGUAAGCU
rnacentral:rRNA from 1 species